GAGUGGCGAACGGGUGAGUAACACGUGAGUAACCUGCCCCUGACUUCGGGAUAAGCCCGGGAAACUGGGUCUAAUACCGGAUACGACUGCCGGACGCAUGUCUGGUGGUGGAAAGUUUUUUCGGUUGGGGAUGGGCUCGCGGCCUAUCAGUUUGUUGGUGAGGUAAUGGCUCACCAAGACGACGACGGGUAGCCGGCCUGAGAGGGCGACCGGCCACACUGGGACUGAGACACGGCCCAGACUCCUACGGGAGGCAGCAGUGGGGAAUAUUGCACAAUGGGGGAAACCCUGAUGCAGCGACGCAGCGUGCGGGAUGACGGCCUUCGGGUUGUAAACCGCUUUCAGCAGGGAAGAAGCGCAAGUGACGGUACCUGCAGAAGAAGUACCGGCUAACUACGUGCCAGCAGCCGCGGUAAUACGUAGGGUACGAGCGUUGUCCGGAAUUAUUGGGCGUAAAGAGCUCGUAGGUGGUUGGUCACGUCUGCUGUGGAAACGCAACGCUUAACGUUGCGCGUGCAGUGGGUACGGGCUGACUAGAGUGCAGUAGGGGAGUCUGGAAUUCCUGGUGUAGCGGUGAAAUGCGCAGAUAUCAGGAGGAACACCGGUGGCGAAGGCGGGACUCUGGGCUGUAACUGACACUG
rnacentral:rRNA from 1 species